CAUAUCAAUAAGCGGAGGAAAAGAAACCAACAGGGAUUCCCCUAGUAACGGCGAGUGAAGCGGGAACAGCUCAAAUUUGAAAUCUGGCCCUUGGGUCCGAGUUGUAAUUUGCAGAGGAUGCUUUUGGUGCGGUGCCUUCCGAGUUCCCUGGAACGGGACGCCUUAGAGGGUGAGAGCCCCGUACGGUUGGCCACCAAGCCUGUGUAAAGCUCCUUCGACGAGUCGAGUAGUUUGGGAAUGCUGCUCAAAAUGGGAGGUAUAUUUCUUCUAAAGCUAAAUACUGGCCAGAGACCGAUAGCGCACAAGUAGAGUGAUCGAAAGAUGAAAAGCACUUUGAAAAGAGGGUUAAAUAGCACGUGAAAUUGUUGAAAGGGAAGGGUUUAUGACCAGACUUUUUCUAGGGGGAUCAUCCGGUGUUCUCACCGGUGCACUUCCCCUAGUUGAGGCCAGCAUCGGUUUCUGUCGGGGGAUAAAAGCUUCGGGAAUGUGGCUCCUUCGGGAGUGUUAUAGCCUGUUGCAUAAUACCUUGACGGGGACCGAGGUUCGCGCAUUGCAAGGAUGCUGGCGUAAUGGUUAUUAACCACCCGUCUUGAAACACGGACCAAGGAGUCGAACAUUUGUGCGAGUGUUUGGGUGUUAAACCCUCACGCGUAAUGAAAGUGAACGGAGGUGAGAGCCCUUCGGGGUGCAUCAUCGACCGAUCCUGAUGUCUUCGGAUGGAUUUGAGUAAGAGCAUAACUGUUCGGACCCGAAAGAUGGUGAACUAUGCGUGGAUAGGGUGAAGCCAGAGGAAACUCUGGUGGAGGCUCGCAGCGGUUCUGACGUGCAAAUCGAUCGUCAAAUCUGCGCAUGGGGCGAAAGACUAA
rnacentral:rRNA from 1 species